AAUAGAUACCGGGUAGUCCACGCCGUAAACGAUGAGUGCUAAGUGUUAGGGGGUUUCCGCCCCUUAGUGCUGCAGCUAACGCAUUAAGCACUCCGCCUGGGGAGUACGGUCGCAAGACUGAAACUCAAAGGAAUUGACGGGGGCCCGCACAAGCGGUGGAGCAUGUGGUUUAAUUCGAAGCAACGCGAAGAACCUUACCAGGUCUUGACACCCCGUUGACCGCUCUAGAGAUAGAGUUUUCCCUUCGGGGACAACGGUGACAGGUGGUGCAUGGUUGUCGUCAGCUCGUGUCGUGAGAUGUUGGGUUAAGUCCCGCAACGAGCGCAACCCUUGUUCUUAGUUGCCAUCAUUCAGUUGGGCACUCUAAGGAGACUGCCGCAGACAAUGCGGAGGAAGGUGGGGAUGACGUCAAAUCAUCAUGCCCCUUAUGACCUGGGCUACACACGUGCUACAAUGGACGGUACAAACGGUUGCCAAGUCGCGAGACGGAGCCAAUCCGAGAAAACCGUCCUCAGUUCGGAUUGCAGG
rnacentral:rRNA from 1 species